CCUAUACAUGCAAGUCGUACGCUUCUUUUUCCACCGGAGCUUGCUCCACCGGAAAAAGAAGAGUGGCGAACGGGUGAGUAACACGUGGGUAACCUGCCCAUCAGAAGGGGAUAACACUUGGAAACAGGUGCUAAUACCGUAUAACAAUCGAAACCGCAUGGUUUUGAUUUGAAAGGCGCUUUCGGGUGUCGCUGAUGGAUGGACCCGCGGUGCAUUAGCUAGUUGGUGAGGUAACGGCUCACCAAGGCCACGAUGCAUAGCCGACCUGAGAGGGUGAUCGGCCACAUUGGGACUGAGACACGGCCCAAACUCCUACGGGAGGCAGCAGUAGGGAAUCUUCGGCAAUGGACGAAAGUCUGACCGAGCAACGCCGCGUGAGUGAAGAAGGUUUUCGGAUCGUAAAACUCUGUUGUUAGAGAAGAACAAGGAUGAGAGUAACUGUUCAUCCCUUGACGGUAUCUAACCAGAAAGCCACGGCUAACUACGUGCCAGCAGCCGCGGUAAUACGUAGGUGGCAAGCGUUGUCCGGAUUUAUUGGGCGUAAAGCGAGCGCAGGCGGUUUCUUAAGUCUGAUGUGAAAGCCCCCGGCUCAACCGGGGAGGGUCAUUGGAAACUGGGAGACUUGAGUGCAGAAGAGGAGAGUGGAAUUCCAUGUGUAGCGGUGAAAUGCGUAGAUAUAUGGAGGAACACCAGUGGCGAAGGCGGCUCUCUGGUCUGUAACUGAC
rnacentral:rRNA from 1 species